rfam:Rattus norvegicus chromosome 13, whole genome shotgun sequence.
GGGGAUUUAGCCCAGUGGUAGAGCGCUUGCCUAGCAAGCACAAGGCCCUGGGUUCGGUCCCCAGCUCCG